AACGAACGCUGGCGGCAUGCCUAACACAUGCAAGUCGAACGAGACCUUCGGGUCUAGUGGCGCACGGGUGCGUAACGCGUGGGAAUCUGCCCUUCGGUUCGGAAUAACUCAGGGAAACUUGAGCUAAUACCGGAUGAUGACUUCGGUCCAAAGAUUUAUCGCCGAGGGAUGAGCCCGCGUCGGAUUAGCUAGUUGGUGAGGUAAAAGCUCACCAAGGCGACGAUCCGUAGCUGGUCUGAGAGGAUGAUCAGCCACACUGGGACUGAGACACGGCCCAGACUCCUACGGGAGGCAGCAGUGGGGAAUAUUGGACAAUGGGCGCAAGCCUGAUCCAGCAAUGCCGCGUGAGUGAUGAAGGCCUUAGGGUUGUAAAGCUCUUCUACCCGGGAAGAUAAUGACUGUACCGGGAGAAUAAGCCCCGGCUAACUCCGUGCCAGCAGCCGCGGUAAUACGGAGGGGGCUAGGCGUUGUUCGGAAUUACUGGCGUAAAGCGCACGGUA
rnacentral:rRNA from 1 species